UGGGGAAUAUUGGACAAUGGGCGCAAGCCUGAUCCAGCCAUGCCGCGUGAGUGAUGAAGGCCCUAGGGUUGUAAAGCUCUUUCGCAGGUGAAGAUAAUGACGGUAACCUGAGAAGAAGCCCCGGCUAACUUCGUGCCAGCAGCCGCGGUAAUACGAAGGGGGCUAGCGUUGUUCGGAAUUACUGGGCGUAAAGCGCACGUAGGCGGAUUGUUAAGUUAGGGGUGAAAUCCCAGGGCUCAACCCUGGAACUGCCUUUAAUACUGGCAAUCUAGAGUCCGAGAGAGGUGAGUGGAAUUCCGAGUGUAGAGGUGAAAUUCGUAGAUAUUCGGAGGAACACCAGUGGCGAAGGCGGCUCACUGGCUCGGUACUGACGCUGAGGUGCGAAAGCGUGGGGAGCAAACAGG
rnacentral:rRNA from 1 species